AAAACAAUUGAGAAAAAAUAAAUACGGAAUGCUUAGACGAAAACAGAAACUGCCAGCAGUUUGCACGAUCUUCCAGAAGAACGACUGCCCGGACGCACGAUUGGAGACAGAAGACGAACGUGGGAGAUGAUCGGAGUAGAUAUGGCUUCAUCACCAUUCACCCCACUCUCAAUUUACGGUUCAUAUAAAAGGAGGGAAGGGAAAGAGGAGCAGAGCAAAAUCAAACCCAGAAAGAGGAAGAAAUUAGUACCAAAAUCGGUGAUUCCAGAUUCACCUAGCCAAUUGUUAUUGGGUACACAGUGAUACUGGCAUUGAUGCAAGAAGUCGCUCACUUCUUCAGAACAGAGCCAAGAGUGAGUGGAAUCAUGUUCAGUUUGAAUGAAAACUUGAUUUGAGGAGUAAUCAGCCAUUGACUCUCCCUUUUGUGUUGCAUAUUCCUGAUCAUUGGUUCCAGAUCACUUUUUCCUUCGGUUUGCUCAGUUGUUCUUCUUCUACUUAAAAGGGAUAGUGGGCCGAGAAGUGACCGUGGAGCUCAAGAACGACCUUGCGAUUAGGGGUACUCUUCACUCUGUCAAUCAGUGUGCCUCAAUUCUCUCGGCUAAUUUACUCUUUCUUACGUGCCAGUGUGAUGUAUGUAUUCUCACUUUUAGUGCCUUGCUUAAGAACACAGGGGUCAUAUUUGUUAUUUCAAUCUGACCAAGAAGAGAUUGGGAUAUAGUGUUUAACAGUUACAUUUUCGAAUCCCAAUAUCUAUGCAUGCAUGUUUUUAAUAUUUGGUUACCUCUUAGUGAUUGUUCAUUUCAUGUGUAUGAUGUAAGUAUUGCUGGAAGCACCACAGUUGCAGGUGAUGUUUUGUUUUAGGGCCCUUUGUUUUAUUUGGCUUCUUUGUGAAGAGAUCAUGCAUGAUCUUCCAUGUCUUUUUUUUUCAGCUAAAUUUGGUUUUGUGACUAAGAUCAUACUGCCACUUUUUCAGUUGAAUAAAAAAGUCUACAUUUUUUAAAUAUUUUGUACUACUGUUCUUGGAACUGCAGAAUUGGGUUAUUGAAUCAAUUGUUGCACUAGAAGGUCAAGGUACAAUCCUUUUUUGUUAUUUUCUUUUGGUCGUUUACCUCUUUUUUUUUUGGCUGAUUCUCUUUUGGCUUAGUUAAUUAUGGCUUUCAUCUUUACAGAUUAUUAUGGGCCAGGUUCCUUCAUCACGCUCUCACACACCUGAUGACGACCAGGGACCUAACCGUAUUCAUGUACAAGAGGCAGAAAGGCAGAGUAGAAAUAAUCCCCUGGGAGAGACAAGACAAUCAAUGAGUUCUUCACAAUCUAUUUAAUCACACUCUUCCCGGCCCAACGAAGACCGGGGACACGCUCAGCUUCAUGCAUUGGAGGCUGAAAGGCAGCGUAGAAAUAAUCGUCAAAGAGAGAGACGACGAUUAUUGAGUUCUUCGCAACAAGAGGAAAGUUUAGCCCAAAGACGUGCCAAUUAUCAAAGACAACAGCAAAUUGAGGCCACAAGUGCAUCAAAUCAAGUGGAAGCAAUGGCCGGUGUUGAACAACAAAAUCAUGCUGAUCACCAAAGUACACCACAUUUUGAAAGAGAGAAUCAAAGAGCGAGAUGGCGAACAAGUCAAAGCAUUUGGCGGGCUUCAAUGAGUUCAAUACAACAUGAUGAGUAUUUAGCACGACGACGAGCCAAUUAUCAU